AAUAGAUACCCCGGUAGUCCACGCCGUAAACGAUGAGUGCUAAGUGUUAGAGGGCUUCCACCCUUUAGUGCUGCAGCUAACGCAUUAAGCACUCCGCCUGGGGAGUACGGCCGCAAGGCUGAAACUCAAAGGAAUUGACGGGGGCCCGCACAAGCGGUGGAGCAUGUGGUUUAAUUCGAAGCAACGCGAAGAACCUUACCAGGUCUUGACAUCCUUCGCUACCUCUAGAGAUAGAGGGUUCCCCUUCGGGGGACGGAGUGACAGGUGGUGCAUGGUUGUCGUCAGCUCGUGUCGUGAGAUGUUGGGUUAAGUCCCGCAACGAGCGCAACCCUUGACCUUAGUUGCCAGCAUUCAGUUGGGCACUCUAAGGUGACUGCCGGUGACAACCGGAGGAAGGUGGGGAUGACGUCAAAUCAUCAUGCCCCUUAUGACCUGGGCUACACACGUGCUACAAUGGAUGGUACAAAGGGUCGCGAAACCGCGAGGUGGAGCCAAUCCCAAAAACCAUUCUCAGUUCGGAUUGCAGGCUGC
rnacentral:rRNA from 1 species